rnacentral:lncRNA from 1 species
GUAAAGCGAAGUGCCUGCUUCCGCCCGUGCACACUCCCUGCGCUACCCUCCAUGAUGCUGGGGAUGGCCAUUCAUGCUCCAUGCACUUAGAACACUGUCGGGCUGGACUGGCUGUUGGCGAAUGGCUGAAAGCAGGCCUGGUUGGGCACUGGAUCCUUGUCCCACGUCUCUUGCAUAAGAAGGACACACAUACAUCACGGAAGAAGGCAAGCGAGCAGGUCAUCUGUCUUGGGGGGACCGAUUGUCCACGUGCCCAGGAAAAGGCAUUACAGUUCCAGAGUCAAAAGUUUCAGUGCAAUUGACACAUAGACAUCGCUCGCACUGCCUGGCCGUCUCGUGUCUGACCUAACCAUGGAGCUGGAUAGAGCAGUUAAUGCUGCCAGUGUGCAGUAUCCAAGACAUCGGGGAGCAGACACUCCGUGGAGAUCUUCCUGCCUGGAGAAGAGUUGGACUCAGGACCUCCUCUGACUUGGGUGCCCUAGGAUGGGUGGCCUGAGGCAGGCAAGCUCCUGGGGGUCAUGUUGUAGCUUAAUGCUCUCGUCCCCUCUCUAGGCAGCUUCCCUUCUGAUAUCUGGCUGGCGUGGAUGGGCGUGGGUGACAGGUUUCAUCACCAACCUCAAGAGCCUGGAGGUCACUUAAACUCCUCAACAGCUGAAGGCCUGCCUGAGGAUGGUCCCAGGCCAGGAGGGCAGGGAUGGCUCAAGCCCAGGCCAGCCCCACGGGAGACGGGGUCUGGGAACUCUUGUGGAUGUCUAUGAAAACUGGCCUGCCUGGGGUCGGAGCUCCCUCUUCACAGUGCAUGGCCCACUUGGGGGACUUCUGAUGACUGUCCUUUUCCCAGGGCGGGAGAUCACUUAUGUGUUAUAUAAAGUGAAAUAAUGUCAUUGGCCCCCCCUGGUUUCCUGUUGAUUGACUUUUAUAGCUUGCAAACAUUAUGCUGGAUUGGUAAAUUGCAAUAAAUUUAAUCAAGAAUUAUUUUAUUCA